rnacentral:rRNA from 1 species
AACGAACGCUGGCGGCAGGCCUCAAACAUGCAAGUCUAGGGGGUGUAGCAAUACAUCACCGGCGGACGGGUGCGUAACGCGUGGGAAUAUACCUAUCGAUUCGGAACAACUGAGGGAAACUUCAGCUAAUACCGAAUACGUCCUAACGGAGAAAGAUUUAUCGUCGAUAGAUUAGCCCGCGUUCGAUUAGCUAGUUGGUGGGUAACGGCCCACCAAGGCGACGAUCGAUAGCUGUUCUGAGAGGAAGAUCAGCCACACUGGGACUGAGACACGGCCCAGACUCCUACGGGAGGCAGCAGUUGGGAAUCUUGGACAAUGGGGGAAACCCUGAUCCAGCCAUGCCGCGUGAGUGAUGAAGGCCUUCGGGUUGGUAAAACUCUUUCGCGCACGACGAUAAUGACGGUAGUGCGAGAAGAAGCUCCGGCUAACUUCGUGCCAGCAGCCGCGGUAAU